UAUAUUUUUUCUUAAUAUAGCAGAAAGUCGAAUUUUCCGUUAGUUUGUUACGAGUUGUAGGCAAUUUCGGAACUUCCGUGUAUCAAAUAUUUUCUAAAAGGAUUUGGUUGCCGUUUAUAGCGCCACUACAUUUUAUUUCUGUCACAAAAAUUCAAAAAGAAAAUUUGAUUUUCCAUAAAAGCAUAUAUUAUAAUAUAAAUAAGCGUUAGGAAUUUUUAUUUUAUUUUAAAUUACAUCAACGUUAGUAGUACUAGUUAGUAAAAGAUGACGAGUAAAAGUAGAAGAGAAGAGUUAAUGCAGAACUACGCUCUCCCCAGUGAUUAGUCGACAUGGAGAAAAGCAACUGGAAAUUAAUUUGAGAACCACUGAAGCAACAAAUUGUCUGCAAUCUUUCUGGAUUUUGCUUACCCAUUACACUUGUAAACUUUAGAAUGUUACUUUCUUCAAUUAACAGAGGUGAGAACAUAUGAUAUAAUUAAUAUUAAUUCGUCUUUAUUAAUCUGUGAGCACCCUAUCGGUUUCAGUUUUUGUAGUUUAUUUUAAACAGCGAGUUGGUUGUAGUUUUUCUCUUAUUUGUUUUAUUUUUUAUAAGAACGAUUACUUUUAAUUGCAUAUUCAUCGGAUGUAUGAUACAUAUCAAUAUGUUUAGGCAAAUAGCCGCAAUUUUGUGUGAAACAAUGUUUUUUUAUUUUUUUUAUUCAUGAAAAUAAUGUGUGUAUGUGCUCUCAUACUUAUCAUUUUCAGAGAAAGAUGUGCAAAAAUUUUGUAAAAAAGCAUGUAAAUAAAUUAUAGAGCUUUUGUACAACACUUA